rnacentral:lncRNA from 1 species
GGUGUCCCCAUUUUCGAUUCCUACCGUUCCUAGAGGAUGCAACUCUUAUGUGUGCGUUAAUUUGUUUUGAAUUGGAGUUUGUUGGGAUUGGAGCAAUUAGGUAGGGGUAUAAGAAGAUGUAGGGUUUGCUUGCAUUGUUGUAGCUUAUGACUAGCCUCCAAGCAUAAUCACUGAUAUAUCUUCCUGGAUCACGCAAUAAGGUGUUGGUGUGGUGUGCUCUAUCCUACUGGUCUGGAUUAAACAUUUCAAUAGCUACAUUGGCUAGUGUGAAAGUAUACAAAGAUGCUGGCAUUACUGUAGCUGGGAUGCCAUUCUUGUUGGCAUUACUGUAACUGGGAUGUCAUUCUUGUUGCCAUUACCGUAGCUGGGAUGCCAUUCUUGUUGGCAUUACUGUAUCUGGUGGUUAGAAUAUGCUAGUUUCAGUUAUUUGUUGAUCUGGAAUGAUGCCAAUAUGAGAUGGCAUCGAUUCUAUGUCGAAGUACAUGAAACAUUAUCAUGAGCACAUUGGUGAGGACGAAGCAUAGAUUCGUCUGGAUGGACAAGAUGUGCUCACUUGCUUGAAAUUGAUGUUUGUGAAGGUGAAGUUCAUAUACUUUGCAUGAUUAUUUUCCCAUGAAACUGAGAUGUGUUGUUUGUUUAACGGAUGGGCUUUGAUUGGAGAUGGAGGUAUGGGUAGCGAAGUUUUGUAGUAGCGCACUUGAAUCUAAGACAUCUGAUGCCAUGGCCAGUAUCUGAAAUUUAGCAUUUGUGAACUGUUUGAAUAAUCAGUCCAAAGACCCAUGGCUUAUAUGACGGUUCUACUGUGACACAAUAAAGCAAGAGAUUGUAAUCAUGAAGAUGAUAUAUAAUUGAUAAAGGUCUUGUUGACCACUUAUUUUGAUCUUGAAAUGUUUAUCCCUUUAUAUGUGUUUGCCACUUUAUAGGUGUUGACGCGCUAUAGAGUAUCGGCGUGGAAGAAGUUAAAGAUCGAAUGCUAAGUCAUUAGCCGUUGUCUUAUUGAAUUAACCUGAAAGGCAAGGGAUUUAGUAGUUAGUAAUGGCUAACUGAAAAUGUUUCCCUAGAAUGUAGAUAUAUGAAGUUUUCCUUCGUAAGAGUUUGGUUGUGUUCUUAUUCUGCUACAAGGCAAGUAUUUGAAGCAUCUGCAUCAUUUUGGUGCAGGAUGAUACACUGUCAGGUCUAGAAGCUGGUAUGCGGACCAUAUUUCAUGGUGUAUGUAUCAGCAUAUCAGGGAGCUUAUACAAAGCAAAAUAGUUGAUACCUUCAAGCAUUCACUAGUUGAACCUUCAAAUCUGAUUUUCUUACAGUUGGUUUCGUAGAAACGAACAUAGUUUUUGUGUGUCGUUAUCUAGGGAAAUCAAGUUUCUUGAAUAAGUUGUAUGAACAUGGAGAACCAAACCUUGUGCCAUUUCUUGUAAAUCCCAUAGUGUGCUUUAUAAAAGCUCGAAAUUAAGAAUGUUGAAUGAGAUUAGGCCUUCUGCUGUUCAAACGUUCUAUUGGUAGAAUGGUUAUUUCAAUGGCAUGUCUAUGCUCAAAGUAGGGGCCUGGUGGGUGAUUAUUUAAGCUACAUGGUCUUGGAAAUUAGCAAAAAAAUUGCAUGUUUUAGACCACUUAGCAUUGACAUGGCCUUGUAAGAGUUUUAGUUGUAUUAUUAUUCUGCUACAAGGUGAGUAUUUUAAGUAUUUGCAUCAUUUUGAUGCUGG